rnacentral:rRNA from 1 species
AUUGAACGCUGGCGGCAGGCCUAACACAUGCAAGUCGAGCGGAGCGGCGGACGGGUAAGUAAUGCCUAGGAAUCUGCCUGGUAGUGGGGGAUAACGUACGGAGACGGGCGCUAAUAACGCAUACUUUCAGAUGAGCCUAGGGUGGAUUAGCUAGUUGGUGGGGUAAAGGCCUACCAAGGCGACGAUCCGUAACUGGUCUGAGGGGACGAUCCGUCACACUGGAACUGAGACACGGUCCAGACGCCUACGGGAGGCAGCAGUGGGGAAUAUUGGACAAUGGGCGAAAGCCUGAUCCAGCCAUGCCGCGUGUGUGAAGAAGGUCUUCGGAUUGUAAAGCACUUUAAGUUGGGAGGCGUUACCAACAGAAUAAGCACCGGCUAACUUCGUGCCAGCAGCCGCGGUAAUUC